GAUGAACGCUGGCGGCGUGCCUAAUACAUGCAAGUCGAGCGAACGGACUAGAAGCUUGCUUCUCUGAUGUUAGCUGCGGACGGGUGAGUAACACUUGGAUAACCUACCUAUAAGACUGGGAUAACUUCGGGAAACCGGAGCUAAUACCGGAUAAUAUUUUUAACCGCAUGGUUCAACAGUAAAAGACGGUCUUGCUGUCACUUAUAGAUGGAUCCGCGCUGCAUUAGCUAGUUGGUAAGGUAACGGCUUACCAAGGCAACGAUGCAUAGCCGACCUGAGAGGGUGAUCGGCCACACUGGAACUGAGACACGGUCCAGACUCCUACGGGAGGCAGCAGUAGGGAAUCUUCCGCAAUGGGCGAAAGCCUGACGGAGCAACGCCGCGUGAGUGAUGAAGGUCUUCGGAUCGUAAAACUCUGUUAUUAGGGAAGAACAUAUGUGUAAGUAACUGUGCACAUCUUGACGGUACCUAAUCAGAAAGCCACGGCUAACUACGUG
rnacentral:rRNA from 1 species